rnacentral:rRNA from 1 species
ACGGACCUCUAGUGUGCGAGCUGUUCCGCCAGGAGCAUCGCUCGGUAGCUAUGUCCGGCAGGGAUAAGCGCUGAAGGCAUCUAAGCGCGAAACCCGCCUGAAGAUGAGACCUCCCAGGGCGUAAGCCCUCUGAAGGCCCCUGGUAGAUCACCAGGUUGAUAGGCCGGAGGUGUAAGCGCGGUAACGCGUUGAGCUGACCGGUACUAAUCGGCCGUGCGGCUUGACCAC